CCGGUACAACGGGGUGCGACACGGUGACGUGGGGCGGAUCCCUGAAAAACCGGUCUCAGUUCGGAUCGCAGUCUGCAACUCGACUGCGUGAAGGUGGAGUCGCUAGUAAUCGCGGAUCUGCAACGCCGCGGUGAAUGCGUUCCCGGGCCUUGUACACACCGCCCGUCAAGUCAUGAAAGUGGGCAGCACCCGAAGACGGUGGCCUAACCCUUGUGGGGGGAGCCGUCUAAGGUGAGGCUCGUGAUUGGGACUAAGUCGUAACAAGGUAUC
rnacentral:rRNA from 1 species